rnacentral:rRNA from 1 species
CCAAUCGUUGACGAACCGAUAGGCCCUGCUAUUGUGAGGCUGCUCCAGUGGCGAACCGGUUGAUAGUAACACGUGAGUAACCUGCCCUUGACUAUGUGAUAACUUUCAGGAAACUCCGGGCUAUAUACCGGAUAGGAGCUCCUGCUGGUGGGGGUUGCAAAGUUUCGGCGGUUGGGGAUGGACUCGCGGCUUAUCAGCUUGUUGGUGGGGUAGUGGCUUACCAAGGCUUUGACGGGUAGCCGGCCUGAGAGGGUGACCGGCCACAUUGGGACUGAGAUACGGCACCAGACUCCUACGGGAGGCAGCAGUGGGGAAUAUUGCACAAUGGGCGGAAGCCUGAUGCAGCAACGCCGCGUGCGGGAUGACGGCCUUCGGGUUGUAAACCGCUUUCGCCUGUGACGAAGCGUGUAGUGACGGUAAUGGGUAAAGAAGCACCGGCUAACUACGUGCCAGCAGCCGCGGUGAUACGUAGGGUGCGAGCGUUGUCCGGAUUUAUUGGGCGUAAAGUCGUAGGUGGUUGAUCGCGUCGGAAGUGUAAUCUUGGGGCUUAACCCUGAGCGUGCUUUCGAUACGGGUUGACUUGACGGAAGGUAGGGGAGAAUGGAAUUCCUGGUGGAGCGGUCCAAUCGUUGUCUCCAUUCAGCGGAAUGGGCAGAUAUCAGGAGUAACACCAGUGGCGAAGGCGGUUCUCAGUUGGGCCUUUCCUGACGCUGAGGAGCGAAAGCGUGGGGAGCGAACAGGCUUAGAGUACCCUGCGUAGUCCACGCUGUAAACGGUGGGUACUAGGUGUGGGGUCCAUUCCACGGGUUCCGUGCCGUAGCUAACGCUUUAAGUACCCCGCCUGGGGAGUACGGCCGCAAGGCUAUUACUCAAAGGAAUUGACGGGGCCCCGCACAAGCGGGAGCAUGCGGAUUAACUCGUUGCAACGCGUAGAACCUUACCAGGGUUUGACAUGGAUCGGGAGCGCUCAGAGAUGGGUGUGCCUCGGGGUCGGUUCACAGGUGGUGCAUGGUAACUGUCGUCAGCUCGUGUCGUGAGAUGUUGGGUAUCGUAAGUCCCGCAACGAGCGCAACCCUAUGUACACUGUUGCGCAGCACGUAUAUGGUGGUUCGCAUGGACUCAGUGGUGACGGCGGGGGUCAACUCGGAGGAAGGUGGGGAUGACGUCAAGUCAUCAUGCCCCUUAUGUCCAGGGCUUCACGCAUGCUACAAUGGCUGGUACAGAGAGUGGCGAGCCUGUGAGUCGUGAGCGAAGCUCGGAAAGCCGGUCUCAGUUCGGAUUGGGGUCUGCACCUCGACCUCAUGAAGUCGGAGUCGCUAGUAAUCGGCAGAUCAGCAACGCUGCGGUGAAUACGUUCACGGGGCUAGUACACACCGCCCGUCAAGUCAUGAAAGUUGGUAACACCCGAAGCCGGUGGCCUAACCGUUGUGGGGGAGUCGAGCUUA